AGGAGAAAGUUUGUUCCCCCUUAUUUUCUGCAGAAAAGAUUCUCCCUCCAUCUGGGUCGCUCCUGCUUCGCGCCCAGCCCGGCCACCUGUUACUGUCUUGGGUCCCUCCUCCAGGAGGCCCAUAGCUGCACACGGUUGGCAGCACUUACAGCCCGCCCCUGUGAUUGGUGCCCGCGUGGAGAGAGCCUGCCGGUGGGGGCGGCCGAGCAACGGGGCGGGCCUCAGGGGGAAAGACCCCUGCAGGACAGAGAGUUGGUCUUUCUGAGCCGAAGCGGAAGCAUCCUGCGGUUCUCUGCGCGCCCCCACUGUGUGCCAUCUACGCACACCGAGCACCCUGCGCCUGGGCACUUGGGAGGAGACCCAUUCUGCUGACUUCCGCUCGCAUCUGCCAUCACACCUUUUCAAAGUGGUGUUUCUGGAAAAGAGAAAUUCGCUUUCGGUUUGUGACAGUUUGGGGCCACAUGGAAACUGUGUUUCCCUCCUGGCAGACUCUUAGAACUGUAAGAGCAAAGGCAUACAGUAAAAUAAAAUGCCAUAAAAUUGUUGGAUUUUUUAGGUAAAGGUGGACCCCAAACUACCCCCCAAAUGGGGGGUGUAAAGUCCUGUCAAAAUCUGCAAGUCUUCCGUUCCGCCCCCGCAACUCCCUGAGGCCUCCACAGGCCGACAAGCAAACCCUCCCUCCCGGCGGAGAGCGGGCCUGGCCGGCUUCCCCAGGCGCUUUGUGCCGCGGCCUCGGGAGUCACCCGCCUCCUGUCUCACCUGAGUCUUGUCACCGUGUCACCGCGGCCAUCUCCAAGUGAUCUUGGAACAAUGCCGGUCCCCGCGGCAGAGCCGCUGGUCAAUCAGGCAGAACGGACCGUGCAGAUGGACUGGGGGCCACGCUCGGGGAACACUGCGGCCCAUUGUCCCCGGCGUUUCAAAGCGCCGAGCAGCUGCGCACGCUUGUCGCCUCAGACCCUCGGCUGCCACACUAAUGUCAUCAUCGCGGAACGUCAGAUUGUGAGCACGAUACAGUCGGAUUCAUUAGCAGCCUUCUCCGCAAAGGUCUCUCUUGUCUAUGACAAGUUUCAGACUCCAGACCCCUCUCUGUGGGGAGGGGAGGGGGCACUUGGCAAGUGACAAGAGCUGAAGAGCCAGUUUCCUCUUUCUGGUGAAUUCUGAGACCGGCCUGGGGGUUCAGAGCGCGGAAGUCUGACCCGAGGGGCUCAGAUUUCCAGGCACCCCUGUGUUCUGAGUGGCGCUUGCAACCGUAAAGCCCCAAGGGCUGCACACAACAGGUGGGGUGGCCUCCACAGACGCCUUCCGCUCUGGGGCUCACGCAGUGAAAGAUCUGAAGUCUUUUCUGUAGACCGGACUCGAAACCGCACCCGUUGGAGCAGUUGUGCCCAAGACGGACAAGCUGGUCACACCAGGCAAGCUCCUUGGCGGGGCGAACGGCCUGCCAGCUCUGAGCGUGUCACAGGCCGGCACCUUGUCGGGCUCCCGAGUGGCCACCCCGAUGCUGCCAUCCUGCCUCCUGUCCCCUUGCCGCCUGUUCCCACCCCCCCCUUCUGGGUGACCUCUUUUUGGCAGGACUUUGCGGGCAGCCUGGGGCACCUGCAAAUACAGCUCAGCCCUCUGGCCUCCAGCCAGCUUCCUUCCCCUCCCCACCCGUGGCCUCCGUUAACCUGUCCUUCCUCUGCCUGCUUCCAGGCGUCCCCACCCUUCUCCUCUGCCCUCCCCCAGGGCUGGGAUUUCUAUGGCCAUCACAUGGGGAAGUUCAAGGACAUUCCAGCCGCAGCUGAGAAGCAGAUGUGGAGGCCCGGGUGCAGAGGGCCAAGUCUUCCCUGAGUGCCCAGAGGCUCCCUGGGGCCCUGAAGACCCCCGACAUGUGCCUCAAAGCCUCUCAGGUGCCUCUGGUUUCCUGACGGACCAAGGUGCCACCAGCCAUGUUUUCGUGAACACGAGGAGAAUGACCCCGUUUGGUGGGUCUUGUUUGCCUGGGUGUCAGGGUGAGGGGUGCAGAUGACCCAACCACAGGUGGUCACUUUAGGGGCACCUCUAGGGAACUGACCUAGAACCUCCCUCUUUUUUCUCCCCAGAAAAUACGACUUGGGCCCUGCCCCUGUGGUUGCUCUUGUAAAUCUCUGUGGGUCUUCACCGGCCCUGGGCCUGGGACCCCCAGCACCGGUGGGGCGCCCUCCCCCACGAGUCCACAGGGCUGGGGGUGCAGAGGCAGCUCACAGGAGCCCCUGGCCAGCACCCCGAGUUGCAGGGGGACAGUGGUUUUGCAGGUUUGGAGCCCCAGUGUCUCCGCAGGGAGUAGACAGCAUCCGGAGCCCUGGGGGUGUGCGCAGUGCAUGUGGGAAGGGCCGCAGAGGCCCGGCCGCGGCUCAGCCCGGGCCACAGGGGGUUUCCUUGGCCGCAUGGGCCUCUUCCUGCAGGAGGCUUUGGCCCCUGAGCCUGGAGCCCGGAGCCCGGACUCGCCCCGGCCUGCCCCCACCCGCAUGUCCACUGCCUUCUACACUUGGGCCCUUCGCAUACAAUCAAUCCACAGCCACACACACCUUACACACUCACAGCUCCUCAUCACAUGUACCUCUCCCACACACACCUUACACACUCACAGCACCACACGCACGCACACCGUGCCCUCACAUUCAUGCAAACACCCAGAGGCUCUCUCUGGGAUGUGAGCGUGUGCACCCCGGAGCCACACGAGUUCAUUGGUGGACACCUCCCCUGCCCCGCCCACAGGUCCCUGCGGGUCCUGCAGUGCAGGCUGGCUGGGGUGGGGGAGGGGGCAGUGACCCCUGGCCCCCCUCCCCGCCCCGGAGGGAGAAGCCAGAAGCCACACCCACCCUGGGAAGAAUACGCUGCUAGGUACACUCACCGGGCACUUGAACUCAUCUGUACAGAAUUCAACAGACACAGCAGAAAAGUGACGUCAGGAAGGACACGGCUGGCGGUUUCCGAGCCCUUCCCUCCUGAGCGGAGAGAGUGGGCGGAGUUACCGCGUGGUCCCCGUGGUUCCGCGCUGCCUCGCUGUGGCCCCGCGUGGCCGUGGGGCGCUCGGGUCACGGCCGCCCGCCGCUCGCGGAGCUGCGGUGCGGAAAGCCCAGCGGAGCGCCUCCGCGGCGGCUCACGUCCGGGGUCAUGCGGGAAUGACCGUAUUUUGGGGCAUAUAGGGUAAAAUAAGGUACAUUUUUGAAGUUAAUUUCUUCUUUCUGCCUCUUUUACUUUUUAAAAAUGUAGCUUUUAGGAAAUUUAAAGUGACCCACGGGUCUUCUGGUUGUGACUUGCCGUCACUUCCCAACGGCUCCUUCCGGAAACGGAGGUGGCCACGGCCGCUCCUGGCGGCAGGAGGCCGUGGGGACCCUCCGGCGGGCAAGUGGGUCUUGUGGCGGCCGCACUUGGUCGUCGGGCCUCCGCCCUCUUGAGGGGGCGCACGCUGGGCGCAGGAUGGCAGCCCACGGCAUUUUAUCGCUUGACUCGUGUUCUUUCCCUUGUAACUUGACUUCCGCCCCAUUGCUGGGCUGCGAUCCGUCAGCGACCUUCGGUGGACCCGCAAGGAACUUCUGAAGACUCUGGCCACGGAGGAGGCAUCACCACCCCAAGGCCCUGCAGCCGGAGCGGGGACUCACGGCCCCGAAAACGCUUUCUGCUGAGCAAGAACAGAACUCCUUCCAGAUUUUUCAUUCCUCUGAUUGACUCAUAGCUUUAAGAUUUUGUGAAGUCACGGCUGGUCAAAAACAUUACAAUAAAACAUUUGCAUAUUUUA